rnacentral:rRNA from 1 species
CCUACGGGGGGCAGCAGUGGGGAAUAUUGCACAAUGGGGGAAACCCUGAUGCAGCGACGCCGCGUGAGCGAUGAAGUAUUUCGGUAUGUAAAGCUCUAUCAGCAGGGAAGAAGAUGACGGUACCUGACUAAGAAGCCCCGGCUAACUACGUGCCAGCAGCCGCGGUAAUACGUAGGGGGCAAGCGUUAUCCGGAUUUACUGGGUGUAAAGGGAGCGUAGACGGCGGUGCAAGCCAGAUGUGAAAGCCCGGGGCUAAACCCCGGGACUGCAUUUGGAACUGUAUGGCUGGAGUGUCGGAGAGGCAGGCGGAAUUCCUGGUGUAGCGGUGAAAUGGGUAGAGAUUAGGGGGAAAACCAGUGGCGAAGGCGGCCUGCGGGAAGAUGACUGACGUGGAGGCUCGAAAGCGUGGGGAGCAAACAGGAUUAGAUACCCGGGUAGU